GAUGAACGCUGGCGGCGUGCCUAAUACAUGCAAGUCGAGCGAACGGACGAGAAGCUUGCUUCUCUGAUGUUAGCGGCGGACGGGUGAGUAACACGUGGAUAACCUACCUAUAAGACUGGGAUAACUUCGGGAAACCGGAGCUAAUACCGGAUGAUAUUUUGAACCGCAUGGUUCAAAAGUGAAAGACGGUCUUGCUGUCACUUCUAGAUGGAUCCGCGCUGCAUUAGCUAGUUGGUAAGGUAACGGCUUACCAAGGCAACGAUGCAUAGCCGACCUGAGAGGGUAAUAGGCCACACUGGAACUGAGACACGGUCCAGACUCCUACGGGAGGCAGCAGUAGGGAAUCUUCCGCAAUGGGCGAAAGCCUGACGGAGCAACGCCGCGUGAGUGAUGAAGGUCUUCGGAUCGUAAAACUCUGUUAUUAGGGAAGAACAUAUGUGUAAGUAACUGUGCACAUCUUGACGGUACCUAAUCAGAAAGCCACGGCUAACUACGUG
rnacentral:rRNA from 1 species